rnacentral:tRNA from 1 species
UGGAUAGCUCAGUUGGUAGAGCAUGAGACUCAUAAUCUCAGGAUUAUGGGUUCGAGCUCCAUGUUGGGUGAA